CUCGCGGCGCCAAAAAUUAAAGUAUUGCGCAUCGCCGAGAGAGAAAAAAAAGGACGACCCUCGCAGAGGAAGAGGAGCACGAGACCCGAGCCUCGCGCCAUGGCGGGAGUAGCCUCCCUCAACGCCGUGUCCCUGUCCGCGCCGUCGCCCCAGGCCCCGGGGGCCACCGCCGCCCGCGGCCGCCUCCUCGUCCCGGCGGCCCGGCGCUUCCCGUCGCUGCGGGCCGCGCGGCGCGUCGUCGCGGCGCGGGCGGCGCCCGUGGACGCCGACGACGAGUGGGGGAAGGAGCCGGCGGUGGGAGGGACGGCGGUGGCGGAGGCGCCCUCGGAGGCGGCCGCGGCCGCGAGCGAGGUGGCGGCGCUCAAGCUGAAGCUCAAGGCGGCGCUGUACGGGACGGAGCGCGGCCUGCGCGCCUCCAGCGAGACGCGGGCGGAGGUGGUCGAGCUCAUCACGCAGCUCGAGGCGCGCAACCCCACGCCGGCGCCCACCGAGGCGCUCACCCUCCUCAACGGCAAGUGGAUCCUCGCGUACACAUCAUUUUCGCAAUUGUUCCCACUGUUGGGGUCUGGAAGGCUACAAGCUCUUGUCAAGGUGGAUGAAAUAUCACAGACUAUUGAUUCCGAGAACUUUGCGGUGCAGAACUGCAUCAAGUUUUCAGGACCUUUGGCGUCAACUUCAGUGUCCACCAAUGCCAAAUUUGAAAUUAGAAGCCCCAAACGUGUACAGAUCAAAUUCGAAGAAGGCAUCAUUGGCACUCCGCAGCUGACCGAUUCCAUCGUACUGCCAGAGAAGUUUGAAUUAUUUGGACAGAACAUUGACCUGAGCCCGUUGAGCGGCAUAUUUACUUCGAUCGAGAAUGCAGCGUCCUCCGUCGCCAAGACCAUCUCCGGUCAGCCCCCACUGAAGAUACCUUUCAGGAGCGAGAGCGCUGGGUCCUGGCUGCUCACAACCUACCUUGAUGCUGAGCUUAGAAUCUCCAGAGGAGAUGGCAGCAGCAUCUUUGUGCUGUUCAAGGAAGGAAGCGCACUCUCGAUAUAGGCCAAGCGUAUCUAUUCUCUGAGUAGAAUUUGACAUGGAGAAAGGGAAUCCAAUAGACAGUAGUUGUGCCUAUGUUCUUACUUCGUGAAUUCAUGUGUUUAUAGUUCGUUCGUUGCAGUGUGUGGCUGUGAUGUAUAUGUAGCUGAACUGCCAUAUGCCUUUUUUUUUUCAAAACGAACUGCCAUAUGCCCUCCUUUGUAAGCCUGUGCACGUACUAUUUCAAUAGACUGGAAUACAAAGAUACCUGAAGUUCUUGUACAAAUGCUAGGGAUGAAAAAUGGCA
rnacentral:rRNA from 1 species